UUUUUUUUUUUUCUAUCCAAGGAAAAAGCGAUAAGGGGAAGUUACUAUGAUCACAACGAAUAUUGAGGAUUCGAUUUUAAGCACCUACGAACAGCCUUCGAAAAAUCUCCGAUCGGCAGAGAAUAUCGGAUUUUCCUGCGUCAUUGGCACCAGCAGCUGUGCUAUUAUCGCCGAACUGCACGGAAUAUAACAUCGUCCGAGCUGUAACAGCGGCAUGAAAUUAACACCUAUUAUUUUUUUGCCAUUCCGCGACUACCGCAUUUGGAUCGCAGCUGCGAGCAAGAAACUCGUUGCAUAUCCGGCAAAAGCGCCUCGAGUGAAUCGAACAACAUUCUCGUCAGUCGUUUCGCCGUCCGGAUGAUGACUGGUUUUACAGAUUUUUAUCCAUCGUGGGGUAUGAAAUACUAGUGGCACCGUUCCGUGUCGUUACCAUGCAUAUAUGUGCAUUCCACUGUCCUUUUUCUUCGCCUCUUGACACGCCGUUCGAUCAUCAUCCGACUGACUUCGCUUAUAGCGAAAUUUUAGGGCCAUAUGGAACGUGCCGUUCGGAACUACUGGCAUAGGGACGAAGGGAUGAACAAUCGAUCACGACGAAAAAGACCAAACGCAAAUUUCGAUCAAGCUGCGGGAGAGGAAAAAAUUUGCAGUUAUUUUUCUUUAAUGAAAAAUUCAUGGUAUAUGUGAUGCGAAUUGUUGCCCGAUGAAUUAACGCCUGACGAUGAAAAAUUAUUAAAUUAAUCUGGUUCGAUGGUCUAAAAACAAAAUUUUCGAAUUUUUCACGUGUAUUGUAAUUUGUUAUACGUCUCUAGAGAUAACGCAGUCUUGAAUGAAUAUAAUUUUUUACACAUUCAACUUAUAUUGCAGAUAAACUUGAAAAACUAUACGCAAAAAAGUAUUCCGGCAUCGAAAAAUUGUAAUUUGGUAGUACAAUGCGAAUUUACACCCAACAUCUGACAGUUGUGAAAAAUCGGACUAUUCUCGUUUACUGGUUCGAAAAUGAAAAUUUUCAAAUGAACAAAUAUAAUUUUUACGCGUUCAACUUGCAUCUAGAGUAGAACUUCAAAAACUAGAUACAAAUCUUUACUCCGGAGAAUAUUUAAAUACAACGCUUGUUCUGCAAUAUUGAUGAAGUACGGUUGAAUGAAAUCAUUCGCUGAGAAUAUACGAGAAUCAGUCUUCUUUUGCUGAUCACUGACAAACGUAUCGGUAAAAACGUGUAUACAAUAAAUAUUUUUCGUGCCAUUUGUCUCGGCGGCGCGAUUAAAAAUAUUCUUAUCUGCAGUCCCCAUGGGGUGACGAAAAAACUUAAAAUUUUACAAAUUCAUUUCACGGCAGUUUCGCGCAUGAUGAAAUUAACGACAGGCGAUACGAUAAUGCUCUGCAGAAAGAUUGCACACACGGCCGUUUAUCUCUUGCGAAAUCGGCGGUCAUAUCAUUCGUGUAUCGCAAUUAAGUGACGCAAGUAGGGAGCCUUGGGGGGUCUCGCGACGUGGGAUCGAGACCCUUUGGCCUUUGCUCUAAUGAUAAUUGUCGGUUCACAUGUGAGUCGAUUAUCGGAAACGUAGAAAGAACGCGGCACGGACAAGCCACUCGUAGAUUCGAAGUUCGUUUUACAAGUUUGAGUCCCGCGCCCGAAUCGCUUCUUCUCUAAUCGAAUUCCUUAAAUUUGGAAAUCGAGUCUUAUCCAGUCCAGCUUUCCACGUUCAAUUUUAGAGUUUCUGCGCAGCCGAACGUCUGGAGUGGGGAGCGUCGAUUCCCGGCGAAUUUUCGGGUUCCUACUAUAUGUGAUUUAGCGCUCGAGAUGCUCGCACAGCGUGGAACGUUUCUGCAGAAUUUCCAUUCUCUUGUUAUCGCGAAUUUUAAUAAUUUAAAUAUUUCGUCAAAUAUCGUUUUGUACGUGAACGUUUUCGGAGGAUUUAAAAAAUAUUCUAGAUACAGUAAUUUCAUUGAAUGUUUAUUUAUAUAAAUUUUGAUUUUUAACAGACAAGUAUUUCUGGAACGUAUUUCUUUUAUCAUUUCACAAGCACAUAUUAUCUACAGAAGUUGAGUAGUUAUAGUUUUUCUAACGAUUUUUGAAAUGUCAGCGUAAAAUGACUUCAUCUGUUUUUACGCGCACCUAAAACAAAUAUUUUUCUAUUUUACUGGGUUUUCUUACCAAAAUAUAUCGCAACGGGAUUUUGACUCAAACGUUUCUGAAUGUAAAAAAAUACCAACAAAGAAACAAUUUUAAAUUUAAUUGUUUCGGUGUAAUUUGUUAUCUAACAAUAACGUGAAUCUCUGACUCUGAUAAUGUCAGUGAGUUACAAAUGAUUAAUAGAAAGCUCGAAUCAAACGAUGCGGAGAAAACAGCGAGAUUACAAAACUCGCUCAAGCCGUGAUUAUCAAUUUUCACGAGGGAUGUAAGAAAAUUAAUUUCUGAAGUGAUGAUUCGCUAUUUUUCUUAAAAUCGUGACCAUUUAUGUCAAAUCAUUCGAUCGCGCAAAUAACUGCGGCAAUACGUGCGUGUAAUUGCCUUCGAAUUAAUGUUUGUUUGGACACAUAUAGAAUUGCGACAUAAUCAAGGCUUGAAGUAUAAUGAUUAGUAAUGAAGAAAAUAAUAACGCAAUAAGUAACAUAAAUAACAUGAUAAUAUUAUUAUUGGGUCGCUAUAUAUGUAUAUACGUAUCUGCAUUUCGCGCAUUAUAAUCAACACGCUUUUGAUUCGUGAAAGUUUCUUAUUAUUCGUUUAUCGAGUUCUGUUUCCUUUGGGUCUUCUUGUAUCAGCAUGAAACAAUUUCAUUCAAUUAACAUAAAAAAUGAUAAACAUGAAUUUAAUGACAUCGGAAUGAUAUACUGCAAUUAUAGGAUUGCAGUUUAAUUAUCCUUAUCAUUCAAUUGUCCAUUUAGAAAACACCUGUUUCCUUAUUCAUGCUCAUGCAGUGAAAGCUUAUCAAUUAUUUCUUCCAGAAAAUAUUCAGCUACACUUAUCACUACACUACUUCGAAUAACAGUGAUAUUUUGUUUAUUGAUGUUUGGUAGUUUGAAGUAUGUGGAAAAAUGUAGGUGAAAACGCCUGCUGACGUACCGAUGGGCAAUUCGUCCGCGUAUCGUGCGCCUGGUGUUUGAUUACACGAUUUGAUUCAUGCAUUAUGUGUUGCUUGUCUGCAAGUGACCAGGCGUUUUUGAAAGCUAAUACUAAAAAUACUGAACGCUGUUAUUUUUAAAAGAAGAAUAUGCCAAAAUUAGUAGUGUCUAAUUUUUUCGCGUAAGAUUUUCGUUAUUCAAAUCAUUCUUGUUACCAAUAAA
rnacentral:lncRNA from 1 species